rnacentral:rRNA from 1 species
CCUACGGGAGGCAGCAGUGAGGAAUAUUGGUCAAUGGGCGCGAGCCUGAACCAGCCAAGUAGCGUGAAGGAUGACUGCCCUACGGGUUGUAAACUUCUUUUAUAAAGGAAUAAAGUGAGGCACGUGUGCCUUUUUGUAUGUACUUUAUAAAUAGGAAUCGGUUAACUCCGUGCAAGCAGCCUCGUUAAUACGGGGGAUCCGAGCGUUAUCUGGUUUUAUUGGGUUUAAAGGGAGCGUAGAUGGGUUGUUAAGUCAGUUGUGAAAGUUUGCGGCUCAACCGUAAAAUUGCAAUUGAUACUGGCAGUCUUGAGUACAGUUGAGGUAGGCGGAAUUCGUGGUGUAGCGGUGAAAUGCUUAGAUAUCACGAAGAACUCCAAUUGCGAGGGCAGCUUACUAAACUGCCACUGACAUUGAUGCUCGAAAGUGUGGUAUCAAACAGGAUUAGAUACCCUUGUAGUC